GAGACGCGUAAACAGGGAAGGCUUCGGCUUUGUCUUUUACCUGUCUAUUAGAACAAAGAUUGCAGGCCAGUCAGCCUGACAAUCGCGCAUACAAUGCAGGGACUGCCGCCUACGUUUCUCUUUCUUCCACAUGAUACGCGCUCGCGCGCCGUACCGCCCUUUACGGGCUGGCGCUCCGCGGGGGCGCGGCACGAGCCGCGACGCGCUAGCGCGCUGUACUGGCGUUUGAAGCUGGUAUAGCUUUCGGGCUUGUAGCUCAGUUGGUUAGAGCGCGCGCUUGAUAAGCGUGAGGUCGGAGGUUCAAGUCCUCCCAGGCCCACCAUCUUUCCUGCUCACGCACGUACGAUCCUUUGGAUCUGUGCUCCGCGAGGGCGGCCAGCAAUGGCCGGCGCGCAGUCGCGCUUUGGGAUAUUCCUAUACCUUACGGGGGCGUAGCUCAGCUGGGAGAGCACCUGCUUUGCAAGCAGGGGGUCGUCGGUUCGAUCCCGUCCGCCUCCACCAAAGGUUUUGGAGAUGGACGAUGAAGACGGAUAUCAUGUGAGAGAAGAAUCAAGUUUGCAGCUUGCCGGGUUUAGGCCUGCUGGUUGCCUGUUCUGUAUGACAUUGUGAAGAGAAGAUAAAUUCGGAUUAUUCCGGAUGUUCAAGGGUUUGCACCUUCUGGUGCUGAUCUGCCGGCCUUAUGGCCAUGAACGCCGGGUAAUGUCGUCAGGGGUGCUCAUCAAAAGCCUCUGACCUAUGAUUGGCCGCUUAACCGCAGAGCCAUCGGAUUUAUCUCGAGAAGCUGGUCUUUUUUGUCAAAUCGAUUGUUGCUGAGUGUUUUUGCCGCCUGUUGGUAUCCCCCACAGGUGCGAAAUGCUCGUUAAGGCAAGGAUGGAUAUUGGCAAUGAGAAUGAUCAAGUGUCUUAAGGGCAUUUGGUGGAUGCCUUGGCAUGCACAGGCGAUGAAGGACGUGAUACGCUGCGAUAAGCGUCGGGAGGUGCGAA
rnacentral:misc_RNA from 1 species